rnacentral:rRNA from 1 species
GGGUUCUUCAAAUUCUGCCCUAUCAACUUUCGAUGGUAAGGUAUUGGCUUACCAUGGUUUCAACGGGUAACGGGGAAUUAGGGUUCGAUUCCGGAGAGGGAGCCUGAGAAACGGCUACCACAUCCAAGGAAGGCAGCAGGCGCGCAAAUUACCCAAUCCCGACCGGGGAGGUAGUGACAAUAAAUACUGAUACAGGGCUCUUUUGGGUCUUGUAAUUGGAAUGAGUACAAUUUAAACCUCUUAACGAGGAACAAUUGGAGGGCAAGUCUGGUGCCAGCAGCCGCGGUAAUUCCAGCUCCAAUAGCGUAUAUUAAAGUUGUUGCAGUUAAAAAGCUCGUAGUUG